ACGGGUGAGUAAUAUAUAGGAACGUGCCCAAUCGUGGGGGAUAACGUAGAGAAAUUUACGCUAAUACCGCAUACGAUCUAAGGAUGAAAGCGGGGGAUCGCAAGACCUCGCGCGAUUGGAGCGGCUGAUAUCAGAUUAGGUUGUUGGUGAGGUAAAAGCUCACCAAGCCGACGAUCUGUAGCUGGUUUGAGAGAACGACCAGCCACACUGGGACUGAGACACGGCCCAGACUCCUACGGGAGGCAGCAGUGGGGAAUUUUGGACAAUGGGCGAAAGCCUGAUCCAGCAAUGCCGCGUGCAGGAAGAAGGCCUUCGGGUUGUAAACUGCUUUUGUACGGAACGAAACGGCUCUUUCUAAUAAAGAGGGCUAAUGACGGUACCGUAAGAAUAAGCACCGGCUAACUACGUGCCAGCAGCCGCGGUAAUACGUAGGGUGCGAGCGUUAAUCGGAAUUACUGGGCGUAAAGCGUGCGCAGGCGGUUAUAUAAGACAGUUGUGAAAUCCCCGGGCUCAACCUGGGAAUUGCAUCUGUGACUGUAUAGCUAGAGUACGGUAGAGGGGGAUGGAAUUCCGCGUGUAGCAGUGAAAUGCGUAGA
rnacentral:rRNA from 1 species